CAUGACAAAAAAUUACUUAAUUUUUCAACGGUAUAUUUAAAAAUUGUUGGGUAAAUGAGAACUUAGUUAUCAAAAAUAUAUUAAGAGAACUCGUCAAGUAAACGUCGAAAAAUUAGAAAAUUGACACUUAAAACUUAAUGCCAGUAGUCUUUGAAAAAUCACGCCCGAUAGAAAUACAUGAAGAGGGAAAUGGAAAAUAUCACGUCGGGUGGAGUAAGUCACAUUUUGAGACAGAAAAGUCAGGUGGCUGGGUGGCAAUGGUGCACAAUGUAAGAACCGUAAUUCGAAAUUUUGGUACUAUGAAAUUUUGGGAUAGAACGAUUACCAAAAAUG